UAGUUUCUACUUAAAUAUUAAAGCAUUAUAUACUAAAAAGAAAAAGUUUGAUGAUAUCACUUCAUAAUUUUAAGUAUAUUCUACUAAUUUGUUGGCAUAGUCCAAUGUGCAAAUAAUGUGAAGUACAAUAAGCUUAAAUUGAAAAGUUAUUGAACAGACCACACCUCUUCUUCCCAAUUGUGAUAACUGCCUAUUAACAGAGUAAUGAGCAGUUGCUCAAGGUAUCAGUGUGUGUGUGUUUUCCUUAUUUCAACAGUCUAUAUUGCAGCCUGCUCUUACACAGACAUAUAAUACAAAACAAAAACAGUCUAAAACUGAUUUUUUUGUUGCGGUUGUGUGGAUUCAAACACCGCUGGCGAGGAACUGGAAGGUGAGUUUAACUCCCUCAGUUGUAAAAACUUCAUUUAAACUUUCGUCAUUUCGACGGAAAUUUUUAGACACUGGCUAAUUUACCUGGCUGUGCAAUGUAUAUUUACCUAACUGUGGGGGGGAGGGUUUUGGGGGCAGCGGUGGAAACAAUUUUUUAACAUUUACCGGUUCGUUGGCUUUUUUUAUCCACAACUAAUCGAUAUCUAAUGCUAGUGUAACCCAGCCUUAGAUUGAGCUACGCAUUAAUAUGUUCAUAUUAUUAUUUUUCUUUUUUUGUGAGUAUUCCCCUUUCAGAAUUGAGGGAGUGUCGUAAACAAGAUGCAGCGUUACGGCAGCUGGUUGUCAUGGUACUCCUAGUGGGGAUUCGCGGGCUUCGCCUUUAGGCUUUCACCUGGCCGGCUGCAACCGUUAUUUUUUCCAAGAAGAUAGCGGGAACACAUGCGGCUGUUUUACGCGGUUUACCACGGCCUAUUGUAUCUGGUUUCCUGGAGAGUUUUACUGUCGACAAGUUCUGCAGAUUCUGUUUGGCAAGCAGUAGAGACACUCAACAACAAGAGAUGGCCAUGGAACAGAAAUUAACAAUGCGGGUUAUCAUCUCCGAGGGUGAUAUAAGAAAGAUGACAAUGAACCCUCGACCAUACAUACUUGAAGAUUUGAUUAGCUGGCUCAAAGGCACUCU